rnacentral:rRNA from 1 species
CGGCGUGCCUAAUACAUGCAAGUCGAACGGUCGUUUCUAUGGAAGCUUGCUUCCACUGAGAAGAUAGUGGCGAACGGGUGAGUAACACGUGGGUAACCUGCCCAUAAGAGGGGGAUAACAUCCGGAAACGGGGUGCUAAUACCGCAUAGUUUUCUUGAUCGCAUGAUUGAGAAAGGAAAGAUGGCCUUUGUGCUGUCGCUUAUGGAUGGACCCGCGGCGUAUUAGUUAGUUGGUGAGGUAACGGCUCACCAAGACGAUGAUACGUAGCCGACCUGAGAGGGUGAUCGGCCACAUUGGGACUGAGACACGGCCCAAACUCCUACGGGAGGCAGCAGUAGGGAAUCUUCCGCAAUGGACGAAAGUCUGACGGAGCAACGCCGCGUGAGUGAAGAAAGGGUUUUCGGAUCGUAAAACUCUGUUGUCAGAGAAGAACAAGUUGGAGAGUAACUGCUCCAGCCUUGACGGUAUCUGACCAGAAAGCCACGGCUAACUACGUGCCAGCAGCCGC